CGUCGGACGUGGCCGUGGGCGCCACGCGGAGCGGACCUCCUGCCGGCCGAAUAGUCUCGUACUAUGCCGACUUCAUCGCUGCUCUUCCGUUUGGAAAAGGUGGUGAUGUCUGAGCUACUUUCCUUGCAUCUGAGAGAACGUAAAACAACUGAUGCCUUGCUGAAAAG